rnacentral:lncRNA from 1 species
GCUGCUGCUAUCACUGUUCUGCUGUCUCUUGCAGACUGUGAACUACUUCGAUUCAGAUCUUCACCUAUUGCACCAAGAUAAUAAAUUGCUAUUGGUCCACUAUGACCACCGAUCGUGAAGCACUGGUUCAGCAUCGGUCGUCGAAAAUGCUUCACACCGAAACGAACGUCUAGCGGAGCUGGUUGAAGCAUUUGCGCUCUCAUUUUGGCCAUGGU